AGCUUCUUGAUAUAAAAUAUAAAUACCUUACAAACAUGUUAUUUGUAUACCACUAUAAUCUUAAUGCAUACAUUAUAACACAUUAUAUUUUUACCUAGGUUAUUAUGUUUGUAGACACAUAAUUUUGUCCCUCCUCGAAAGCAUUUUUACCUCUGUCUUACUGCGUGCCCUCACCCGUAUGAUUUUAUCCCACAAAAAUACAAAAAAAAAUAACAAACCCACUAACAAACCUAAUCCCCAAUUAUUCUUUUGGUAACAAAAUUAACCACCCUCAUAUCAAUUUUGGACAACACAUCACCACCCCAUGCCCCCUAUCCUAACCACUACCCCUACCACGUCACCACCCCCAAAUCACGUUUUUCCAUCUUUUGUUUUAAUACCAGAAUACAUACACAUAGAAGGGAGAAAAAGGAAUAAACCAAAAAAAAAAAAGGGAGCCCACGUGAUUCCACACACACAAAAAGGGGGCUUAAUUUCCAUUUAUACACAUAUACAUCAUCACAUUCAAGGGGGCACAGAUACUCUCACUGACCAUACUCUCCAUCCAUCGUCACUACCAUACACCUCACAGAAAAGCUCUACUUUUCUUCACUCACUGGUAUCUUCACUCACCAACGAGACACACACAUAAACCUCACCAUAAAACACACAAUUCACCUUCUUCUCCAGAAUCCAUACACAACAACAAACAUAGCACUCAACAUUCACCACCUACGCACAAUUCUUCACAAACACACGCACAAGGGUCGGAGUGAGAGAGAAAAUGAGAGAGGUCGGCGAUUGAGAGGUAGAUCGGAGACGGAGAGACGAGAAAAGGGAAAUGGAGUGGGGAAGCCGCUGGGAAAUGACUAAUAUUCUGAAUUUUCCAGCGAGAUUAUUGCCGGAAUUCAUUUUUCCCCAUCGAAAAAGCCACCAGCUCUCUUUCGUUCUUAUUUUUUGACCAAAAACCGAGGAUCACUGACGAGCCGAAAACAGGAGAACAGUAGCGAGCCGGAUUCUUUUUCCAAAAUUGGUUCAAAAAUGGUUUUGCAUUGGAACGGGUUUGGGUUUUGGAUAUUGUUGGUCUCGUUUGGUUCCUAUUAGUCCAUUUCGGAUUGACGGCGUUCACUGAUUUUUAAUCGGGAAACUCGAGUUGGGUUGUGCUCUUUGGUAUUUGUUCAAGUUGCAGGUUUUGAGGUUACAGUUGGUUCGAGGUUCCGUUGCUCCGUCAAUUUCAAUUCAUCACUGAUUUUGGAAUAAAAUGAACUAUUGAGGGGAAUGCCCCAAGGUAUUUGUAUUGCUUUAUUCGGGGAAUGCCCCGAGAAAGUUGUACUUGAAGAAGGCGCACGGUCAAGUCCCGAAAUAUCGAAUGGAGUAAAGAAUCGGAGUAUAGUUUAGUAUUAGUGUAGGUUAGAUAGGAUUUAUUUUUGCAUUUUUCUAUUUUGGACUGUAUAAAUUGAACUGGACAUUAUGAUUUUGGAUUUGUUUUGUUUUGAUUCA